rnacentral:rRNA from 1 species
UACGUAGGGUGCAAGCGCUAAUCGGAAUUACUGGGCGUAAAGCGUGCGCAGGCGGUGAUGUAAGACAGAUGUGAAAUCCCCGGGCUCAACCUGGGAACUGCAUUGGUGACUGCAUUGCUGGAGUAUGGCAGAGGGGGGUGGAAUUCCACGUGUAGCAGUGAAAUGCGUAGAGAUGUGGAGGAACACCGAUGGCGAAGGCAGCCCCCUGGGCCAAUACUGACGCUCAUGCACGAAAGCGUGGGGAGCAAACAGG